rnacentral:lncRNA from 1 species
AACAUAGAAACCUUUCUGUAGGUUGUUCCGGUGUGUUAAUAAGUUGCCCUUUGCCUAUUAACCGAAGUUUUUAUGAAACUCGACAUGGUAUAAAGGUUCUGCGUUGCGUCUUUGUAAUACUCAACUGCCUAUCCCAUUUAAUAACGAUAUAGGCGUAAUUAACUCGUGCCAGCACAACUGGAAUUGACAUAGGAUUACAACAGUAGGCCUCGCAAUGCGUAAGCCUUUGCCUAGGUUGUCCGAGAGAGUGGCCCUAUGACCGCCCAGAUCAGGACUUGAAUCCAGCCCGCCAACGUUCAGUGAAGGUCGCGACAGCAUCUGGAGAUGCCUACGGGAGAGAGAGGCCGCCCCCAUCUGAAGGUACGCUCCUGUUACUCAUUACACUCCCUUUCUCUCUUCUCUCGACUUGAUUCGACUCGGGCGUCCGUAGAUUUAUCGGGGAGGCUCUCCCCAUGCCUCUCCUCACUGCUAGUGUCGUACGAAGGGAUCCAAG